GAUACUGAGCCGGGCCUUAACGGGCUACUUUGAUGUGGUAGAAUUCAAGGGUUUGAUCCCUUCAGUAUUU
rnacentral:tRNA from 1 species